CUACCUUAAAUGAAAUGUGCAUUGGAUUCCUGUUCUACUAUCCGGACAUCCCAAUUGCUGCCUGCUGGAGUUACCAGGAUAUUCAUCAUGUGACGGACGCCCUGGGGCUGGAAAGGGCAGACAGCAUAAUGGAUGCUAUCCUGAACAUUGAUAAUGUGGAGUGGGACGAUGAGAACAGAGAGAUUGCCCAGAGAGCAGUCAUUGAAGGGAAUUUUCUUGUGAUGGUUCAAAACCGAGCGGGGAAAAGAGUGAAUGAGACAUGUCCUACACCACCGAUCUCUCUCCCCAUUCCUUACCCUUGUGAUGAAGACACCCCCUGAAUAAAAUGCAUGAACACUAA